AAUAAGCUGUGGUGGAAGUGAUGGAGUGCCAGUACUGAGUGAGGCCUUCAAGUGGCUUUGCAGGUUUUUCUCUCCCUCUUAGAACUCUGCCCAGCUACCAUGAAAAUAAGCCCAAAGUAACCUGCUGGAGGAUGAGACACCACGUGGAAGACAGACAAGCCAUGCCACUGCCUGUGGAUGCAUAGCAGGCAGUUGGCUGGAGAGAAAAGAGUAAUUCUGUGGGCAGGCUGGCUGAACACUGCUCAGGCAGACAGCGUCCCCUGGACAAGUUGGCCAUGGAUUGGGGAGGUGGAGAGAGACCAGGAAGGAGCAGCAGCAUCUCCUAUCUUUGCAGCUGUGGCCUUCCGUAGUUCACUGGUUUCACAUCUUAUGGCAAUGUACCAUAGUCAGAUUGGGGUUUACAGGAAGUACAGAGGACAGAGGAACAUGCUAAACAUCACAAUGAAGACGCAACCAGCUAAGACCAGAACAUGGAACUUCUGCAGGCCAAAUACCCUGAUUUCUUCAACACAUGAAUGGCGUAAGAAAAUGGGAGAAAGGGUGUUAGAGCUAAACAGUCAGCCAAAUACAAUGUGUAGGCCUUGUUUGAAUCCUGCUUUAAAGAAAAUAACUCUAAAAAGACAUAUUUGAGACAAUCCAGGAAAUUUAAACACAGAUUGGGUAUAAAAUGAUGUUAAGGACAUAUUAUUUUAUUAGGUGUUAUAAUGUUAUUAAAGUUGUGAAAAAC
rnacentral:lncRNA from 1 species